AUGGAAACUCCUAUUUAUACUAAACCUAAAAACUAGGUAAAAAUCGUGCAAAAGUCAGGUAUAAUCUCCAAAAUAUGGAAAAGAAUCAAAAUCUAACAAAAUAUGAAAAAUUGCCAAAAUUGAAAAAUUCGCCAAAUUUUUGGCCUGUGUGGACGCAUGGUGUUGUCUUCAGCCUCCGCUUUCAUCGCUUGAUAACAAAUUGAUCCAAGUUGAUUUGGCCUUCGACCCGAACAUGAAAGUUACUCCAUUUUGAGUCCCGAACAUGGUUCCAUCAAUGGUUUCUUGAACGAGCAAUCAUAUUGCUUGUUUCACUUGCUUUGCUCUUGAUCGCGUCAUUGGUCCGCUAUCGACUAUCAACGGGUCUCGUCUCGCACUUGCCUUCGUUGGGCUCGACUCCUGGAUCAUAUCAAAAGCCAAGUUACAUUCCUCAUUCUAGUCAAAGCUUCUAUUUCCCUUAAGUAGUUUGAAGAAGGGAAAACACCUGUCUGCCACCCAGGAAACAAAUCUGUUUAGAGCUGCUAUGCAACCUGUCAACAUCUGAAUGUCCCUUUUGCAUUUAGGGGCCUCCAUUUUUAUCAGAGCUUGGAUUUUAUCAGGGUUUGCCUCUAUUCCUCUAUGUGUAAUCAUAAAACCUAAGAACUUUCCAGAUGCCACCCCAAACGCACACUUCGCAGGGUUGAGCUUCAUGUUGCAUCUUCGUAACGUGGCAAACAUUUCCUCAAGAUUAGAAACAUGACUAUUCACCUGUUUGCUUUUAACCACCAUAUCAUCCACAUAUGCUUCACUUGCUUUUAACCACCAUAUCAUCCACAUAUGCUUCACCUGUUUUCCCAAUUAAUUCAGCGAAGAACUUGUUUACCAACCUUUGAUACGUUGCUCUAGCAUUCUUGAGUCCAAAGGGCAUGACCCUGUAACAAUAGAUGGCCGAGUCUGCCAUGAAUGAGGUCUUCUCUUGAUCUUCUUCUGCCAUGAGUAUUUGGUGAUACCUCGAAAAAGUAUCCAAGAAGCUGUACAACAUAUGACCUGACGUGCUGUCCACAAGGUUGUCAAUUCGAGGUAGGGGAUAACUGUCUUUGGGACAUGCUUUAUUCAGAUCUGUGAAGUCGAUACAGACUCACCAUUUCCCGCUAGCUUUCUUGACCAGAGCUACAUUAGCAAGCCAAUCGAGAUAUUGUACCUCCUGAAUGAACUGUACGUUAACAAGUUUGGCAAUCUCCUCCUUUAUGACUUUUUGUCUUUUGGGUGCAAACUGUCUUUUCCUUUGCUUCACAAGUCUUGCCUCCGGGUUUAUAUUGAGUCUGUGCACCGCAACCUCUGGGUCAAUUACAGGCAUGUCCUCAACAUUCCAAGCGAAUAUAUCACUGUUGCGGGAGAGACAAUUCAGUAGCUCAGCCAUGACUGUUGUAUUCAAAUCACAUCCAACUGUCACUUUCCUGCCAGGCUCGAGCUUGACCUCUUCCAAUCCUUCCACUGGAGACAAUCUGUCAUGAUUCCCAUGCUCGAGCUCGAUCUCCAUAACCUGCAUGACAUUGCUCUUGAUUCUUCAAACACUAGUCACAUAACAUUGUCGUGCCACUAUUUGGCUACCUUGAACUACCCCGACUCUAUUACUUGUAGGAAAUUUCAUUGCCAAGUGAAAAGUUUAGACAAUAGCUCGAAUUCUAUUGAGCAAUGGUCUUCCCAGUAUGGCGUUGUAGGCCAUUGGAGUACGGACAACUUCAAAGGUGGUGAUCUGCGUCACCUGUUUACCUUCUGUCCCCAAUGUUAAAGACAACCCGACAAUACUUUUCGGGGUGAUGACCUCACCUCCAAAUCCUUGGAGAGGUGUUUUCACGGGCUUGAGAUGCUCCAAUGAAAUCCCCAUUUGAACAAACGCUUCAUAAGAUAGUACAUUAGCUGCACUUCUGUUGUCUACUAUAAUCUCUUAACUUCAAAGUUGGCGAUGAUGACCGAUAUGACCAGAGCAUUAUCACGAGGGAAUGCUAUGCCUUCCAAGUCCUCCGUUCCAAUAGUGAUGUCCUCAGUACAACCAAGAUCUGACCUUGAGAUGAUUGGAGGCUGUCUGGCAUAUUGUUUACGCCUGCUACUAGAAUCUCUCCCCAAGGUUGUUCCUCCGACAAUGAUAUUGAUAGUACCUGCAGUUGGUUGCUUAUUUCUCCAACCUUCUGGCCCUUGUCUCUUUUCUGAUUAUUCCUUGGGAGCUUGUCAUCGCUAACGUAAGAGCCCAAAAAUCUCCUUUUUAUAAGAGCCUCAAUCUCCCGCUUCAAGGCCAAACAGUCUUCCGUUGCAUGUCAAUGAUCUCUAUGGAAAUCACAAUACUUAUUCUUGUCACGAGUAUCGGGGGGAGAUCGCAAUCUGGGAGGCCACUUCAAUUCCCUCGAAUCCUUGAUCUCCAUCAGAAUGUUAGACCUCGAGGUGUUCAAACGGGUAAAGGAUGUUAAGGAGGGGUCCUGCCUUGGCUUGACCCGAGGUGUAUCUUGUCUCAAACUGGACUCAUGCGGCUUUUUCUGAUCCGACCUUCCUGAUGAGGAAACUUCUCUUUUUGGGGCCAUGAUUUCUUCCAUAUUGAUGUACUUCUUAGCUCGUGUGAGUAGCUCGGUGACUGACUUCGAUAGGGUCUUAGACAAGGACAUCUUGAAUGCUUCGCAUUUAAUGGCGUAUGUCAAAGUUGAGACUGCAGCGGUGAUAUGUAGAUUGGGGAUCUGAAGCAUUUAUUUAUUGAAACUGGUCAUGAAACUACGCGGUGUCUCAUUGGGUCCUUGAAGCAUCUGCAUGAGUGAUACAGCUGUCUUUCUGAUUCACUUGCUGCUCGCAAAGAAAGUGGAGAACUUAUUGGCUAAAUCUGAGAAGGAGGCGAUAGAGUUCGGUUCUAAUGUGGAAAACCAAUCUCUAGCUGCGUUUGUGAAAGUCUGAGGGAAUGCCUUGCAUAUUACUGCAUCUGGUGCAACCUAUAAGUUCAUGAUAUCUGUAUACACAUUGAGAUGAUUAAUGUGGUCGGUUGUCCCAUCGUACUCCUUUAUCUGAGGAUACUUGAACCUGUCAAGGAGAGGGUGGAGAGGACUUCCGGAGUGAAUGGCGUAUUGGGGGUGAAUCCUAUUACUGCCUGAGUAUUUUGUUGCAUACCUGCCGCUAUCCCUUCUUGAAUAAUUCUAGCAAGUUCAGCGGAGUCCAUUGUAACAGACCUUAAACUUGAAGCCAUUUGCAGUGCACCUGAAGUUCCAAUCCCGCCAUCAUCAUGAGCUGUAUGACGGACUCGAACCCAAGUGUCUGCCAUAAAACCACCUUCGGGGGUUGGGGUAUGCGAUGUGUACGAAUUUCUCUAGCUUAGUAAUUGGGUUAAUGCGGCAACCUGCUAAUGAAGUUCCUCAAAAGCUCCGGCGGUAACAACAGCUUGAGGAGGUGUUGGCAUCUCCUACGACUCUUCUUGAGGGACAUGGCGUUCCUCAAGAAGAGAGUUAUCCGGGACAAACGAGCUUGUUGGAAGAAGACAUGAACAUGUAUUGACCAUGGCUUUUGGUAGCGUUUCCCAUAGACGGCGUCAAUGAUGCUACUAGAAAAUAGUACCUGAGAGAUCUCGAACUUGAUGAUCGAACUCCAAACUUUGAUAAAUACGAAAGGUCUUCGAAUACCUGCAACAAAGGCAACGAGAUGUGUAUUUGUCGCCCCUUCGAUGCUUAAGUCAGAUAGGAAAAUUAAUGCGUAAGACUGUUAACUGGAA
rnacentral:lncRNA from 1 species